UGCAGAUUCAUUAUUUUUUAUUCACCUUCUUUAUAAGGACCAUGCUCGUCGGUCGGUCUGGAUAGAUCAUCACCUCCCUGAUGAACUCAAUUUUGAGAAGCUUAUCCACUUCUUUGGUGAUUGCUUUCUACCAUUCUAGAGUGAAGCUAUGCUUUUUUUGCUUGAUGGGUCGGAAUAUAGGAUCCAUAUCUAGCCGAUGC
rnacentral:lncRNA from 1 species